UACGGGGGGAGCAAGCGUUGUUCGGAUUUACUGGGCGUAAAGGGCGCGUAGGCGGCGCAACAAGUCACUUGUGAAAUCUCCGGGCUUAACCCGGAGCGGCCAAGUGAUACUGUCGUGCUAGAGUGCGGAAGGGGCUACUGGAAUUCUCGGUGUAGCGGUGAAAUGCGUAGAUAUCGAGAGGAACACCUGCGGCGAAAGCGGCUCUCUGGACCACAACUGACGCUGAGGCGCGAAAGCUAGGGGAGCAAACAGG
rnacentral:rRNA from 1 species